ACAUAAGAGCAUGUAGUUAAACAAGUUACAAUUAAACAACAUAUGAACCUCAAAAGUGCAAGAGUGUAUACCUGUAGGAAAGCAAGCAACAAUAUAAUUCAAAGCGAGUAGAAGACGUUGAAUCAGUUUAAGACUAAAUCUUUACAACGAUCAUACAGCAGUAGGUUUUUUACUGAGGUUGUCUCCUCACGUGGUAGUUUUUUGACCUCCAUCAAUUUGCAAAUGUUUACAGAACAGCCUGUUCCAACCAAGUAAUUUCGUUGGACAUUCCAAUGCCUGCGGCCUCGUAGGCUACCUACGACCUAAUAACAACCAGUGCUGACAUUUAUAUUGACAGCAUCGUGUGAAAUUGCUUAAUCAAGAACAUUGUCUCCAUGGGCGACAAGAAGGUUCUCAGACUGGUCCCAAGUAGUGUGGCAGUGGAACCUCACAAGGACCCUCCCUCAAGGUGGCACAAACUAAUAAAGCAUUUUUGCACAGAGGAUGACGCAUGUCAAGAAGUAACAUGGGAGCCUUCGUCAGCAUUGCGCCUUGAUUGACAAGAACUCUAUAGAGGAGCAGCCAUACUCCAUCAGAAGACAGUGUGGCCAAGACUGAGGCUGCAGGCUGGAUGAUCUGGAUCAGCGAUGACAUCACC